CAUCCACCCGCAUGUGGUGAGGGCUGUCCAGUGGGUUGAGGAGCCCUGGAACAGCACACAGGAAAGCAACAACUAAGGACAGAAGAUGGACUAUGGGAACAUAAAUUUGGAUUCUACAGCAUUGCAGUGCUUUCCAGUGAACACAGGCACAGGUUCAGAUGAGAAGCUGAAGGAACAGGUGCCAGUCCUUUAAAGCAUCUCCAUCAUCCCUGCAUCCCAGCUUCCAGCACAGGUAAAUGACCAUCUUUGCCGAGACGGCCCUGUGAUCCCCUGUGAUCCUGGUGUCAGGAGCACUUGCUUGGGGUACAGACAUUUCUUUCCCGAUCUCAGCUAAAAAAAAGACUGAAGGGACACAGACGAGACGCUUCCUGCAGACCAAAACAGCUCAUCCUUACUUGGCAUCUUCUCCAUGCUCGUCGAACACCACGAUCUCAUCCACGCAGAAGAUGGCACAUGCUCGAGCGAUCUGCCCGGCCAGCUUGAAAUGAAGAAUGAUGCAAGAACCACCUGCUGCAAUGCUGCUCCCGUUGUCCCACCAGCCCCGGCUCUCCUUCCCUGCUGCAUACACCCAUCAAGAGGCUGCAGUUCUGCUUUGCAGCCCAGGGGAUGCUGCCAGGCAUCGAGUAGGUGCAAUGUGUGGGUGCACAGGCAAGGCUGGCUGUAGCAAAGCUCCAUUUAAAGAACUAUUUCCUGAGGGCAGACAGUUGCUGAACCUAUGUUCACCUUCCCAAAGUCGAAGGGAAUAUUGCUAAUUUUUGGAAACAUCAGCUCUCUGGGUUUACAGCUUUCAGGACUGUGUGAAUCAGCUUGCUGAGGGAGCAGUGACCCCACACAGUCUCCUGAAGAAAGUGAGUGCUGCUGGGGAUGCUGCCCUGCAGUGCACCCAGCGUAGCCCUGCAGGUAGGUCCUGAAAUGCUUUUUCAGAAUUUGGUGGUGGAGAAGAUACCAGGAGCCAUCCUUACUCUUGUGUUUUGUUGAACACAUCUCAGAACUGAUGAGCAAAGUCUUUAAGCGUGAAGGAAAAAUGCCAAAUGGCGGCAGUGCAUAUGGAGGCUCACUGCUUGCAAUUGUUUCACAGUGAAAGCUGUGUCCCCCAGACCUGGGCCUGGCAGGCCUCAUAGCCACUUGUCUGACAGAAAAUGAGGUUGAAAGCACAAAAAUCAGGAUGUAGCAAAGUUUGUAGCCAAGUAAAGGAAGAGGAAGAAGUGCAGCCAUGGAGAGCCUGGUUCCCUCUGCAGUGUCUUCAGGGAGCAGUUUUCUCCAGUUUCCAUUUUUGCAGUAUGUCAUCUGCUGCCUUCAGUGUGGCAUCCUCCUAAAUAAACACCAGGGGUUCAGUUUGUGGGCUCCAGCCAGGUCUCCCCUCACUACAUUUGUUGUUUGUACAAAAAAACCCAAA